UGCACAUUGCCUUAGAUCCACACUUCUGGGCACAUAAGUGGUGGUUAUGUGAGCUCAACAAGCUAACAUCAUCCAUUGCCCAAACAACCUUAUUGGCUGUUCAUAGAGUGUGCUUGAGUCAUAAGUGUGCUAAAGUAUUCUACCUCUGUAUUGUAGGUGUUUGUUGUGUAGUGCAUAGAAAGCUUGCUUGUAGCUUAUAUACUACAUACGACCUGCAUAUUGGGACAUA